GAUGAACGCUGGCGGCGUGCCUAAUACAUGCAAGUCGAGCGAACAGAUGAGGAGCUUGCUCCUCUGACGUUAGCGGCGGACGGGUGAGUCACACGUGGAUAACCUACCUAUAAGACUGGGAUAACUUCGGGACUCCGGCGCUAAUACCGGAUAAUAUAUUGCACCGCAUGGUUCAUUAGUGAAAGUCGGUUUUGCUGUAACUUAUAGAUGGAUCCGCGCCGCAUUAGCUAGUUGGUAAGGUAACGGCUUAUCAAGGCAACGAUGCGUAGCCGACCUGAGAGGGUGGUCGGCCGCCCGGGAGGGUGGCCACGGUCCAUGGGCCUGCGGGAGGCAGCAGUAGGGAAUCGGCCGCAGUAGGCGAGAGCCUUACGCAGCAACGCCACGUGAGUUAUGAAGGUCUUGGGAGCGUGAAACUCGGUUAUUAGGGAAGAACCAAUGUGUAAGUAACUAUGCACGUCUUGACGGUACUUAGUCAGAAAGCCACGGCUAACUACGUG
rnacentral:rRNA from 1 species